UUUUCUAAAGUCAGAUGAGUUCAUUCUCCAAGACUCCACUCCUGUAACACGACAACACGUAAGUGUUAUAAUCAUAUAAUAAACGUUGGCAUGAAGUGACAUUGUAUUAUAUCAUACUUGAUUAUUAUUUAGUACAACAAAUUUUCAAAUUACAGAAAUAUUAAUAAAUCAGAUUGAUUUUGAAAUGGAAAUAUCAAGAAAAUAAUUCCACUGGAUUGUCUCAAUGAAUCAAAUGUAAAAGGAUUUGAUUUGAUGCCUUAUUUAAUUAAUAAUGGAUGAUGAUGAGUCAAGUUUGGUAGCAAGUUGGAGUUGAGUAAGUGUGAGUUCUCUAAACUAUUAUCACAAUAUUGUUUUUUUCUACUUGGAAGAAUAUAUUUAAAACUACAGUUUUGUCAGAUCUGAUAUCUUCAAUUAUUUGGCUUUAAUAAAAUUACUGGAUUACAUGUAGUUAUAUUACUGUUAUUAAAUACCAAGUAAUUUGGCACUAGAGACAGGUGUUAGGUGUCAUCUCUUGCUCAAUUUAAUUAUAAAAUUUAGCAGAUGGUGCAUAAUGCCUGUCUCUAGUGCCAAAUUACUUAGCAUGUAAUUAAUAGUAAUACAGCCCAAAAUAAUUCCUGCAAUUGUUUGACAUAAAAUCCAAAUCCAAUAAUUAUAUAUUAAACUUUAAUUUUAUAUUGCAUAAAAAAUAAAAUAUUAGGUUGUUCGGAAAGUAAUUUUGUUUAUUUUCUUACCGCUAGACGGAUUAGUCA